CAACCGCAAGAAGGACUCCGCCCGGGCUCCUAUGGGAGCUGGGCUCCGUCGUCAACUUCAACUGCUGGUAAGCUCCGUCCGGACUCCUAUGGGAGUCAGACUUCGCACCUGACUUUAAUUUCAGGAAGACUCCGCCCGGACUCCUACGGAAGCCGGGCUCCGUCGCCAACUUCAACUGCUGGUAAGCUCCGUCCGGACUCCUACGGGAGUCGGACUUCGCACC
rnacentral:lncRNA from 1 species